GGGGGCGUAGCUCAGCUGGGAGAGCAUCUGCUUUGCAAGCAGGGGGUCGUCGGUUCAAUUCCGAUCGCCUCCACCA
rnacentral:tRNA from 1 species